AACGAACGCUGGCGGCAGGCCUAACACAUGCAAGUCGAACGCCCUAGCAAUAGGGAGUGGCGCACGGGUGAGUAACGCGUGGGAACGUGCCCUUCAGUCUGGAAUAACAGCGGGAAACUGCUGCUAAUACCGGAUAUUCUCUACGGAGGAAAGAUUUAUCGCUGAAAGAUCGGCCCGCGUAAGAUUAGGUAGUUGGUAGGGUAAUGGCCUACCAAGCCUACGAUCUUUAGCUGGUCUGAGAGGAUGAUCAGCCACACUGGAACUGAGACACGGUCCAGACUCCUACGGGAGGCAGCAGUGGGGAAUAUUGGACAAUGGGCGCAAGCCUGAUCCAGCCAUGCCGCGUGAGUGACGAAGGCCUUAGGGUUGUAAAGCUCUUUUAUCAGGGACGAUGAUGACGGUACCUGAAGAAUAAGACACGGCUAACUUCGUGCCAGCCGCCGCCGUAA
rnacentral:rRNA from 1 species